GCCUGGGGAGUUCUUCUUGGCAUUCCAUUUCCAUCAGUAUUUGAGCCCAGGGAGUGUUCAAUGGAGUGAAGUAGUGAAAUCUCUAUUGAAGAGUUCUAGAUCAACAUCGCCUUGGAGGGGACCCAACUCGAUAUCCCUGAGAUGGAGUUCGAGAUUAAUGGAGCUUUUGCUUGACCUAUUAAUACUGCACUCACAAAUAAUC
rnacentral:lncRNA from 1 species